rnacentral:rRNA from 1 species
GAUGAACGCUGGCGGCGUGCCUAAUACAUGCAAGUCGAGCGAACAGACGAGGAGCUUGCUCCUCUGACGUUAGCGGCGGACGGGUGAGUAACACGUGGAUAACCUACCUAUAAGACUGGGAUAACUUCGGGAAACCGGAGCUAAUACCGGAUAAUAUAUUGAACCGCAUGGUUCAAUAGUGAAAGACGGUUUUGCUGUCACUUAUAGAUGGAUCCGCGCCGCAUUAGCUAGUUGGUAAGGUAACGGCUUACCAAGGCAACGAUGCGUAGCCGACCUGAGAGGGUGAUCGGCCACACUGGAACUGUGACACGGUCCAGACUCCUACGGGAGGCAGCAGUAGGGAAUCUUCCGCAAAGGGCGAAAGCCUGACGGAGCAACGCCGCGUGAGUGAUGAAGGUCUUCGGAUCGUAAAACUCUGUUAUUAGGGAAGAACAAAUGUGUAAGUAACUAUGCACGUCUUGACGGUACCUAAUCAGAAAGCCACGGCUAACUACGUG